rnacentral:rRNA from 1 species
ACUCAAAUGAAUAGACGGGGACCCGCACAAGCGGUGGAUGAUGUGGAUUAAUUCGAUGCAACGCGAAGAACCUUACCUACCCUUGACAUGCCAGGAAGUCUGCUGAGAGGUGGACGUGCCCGAAAGGGAGCCUGGACACAGGUGCUGCAUGGCUGUCGUCAGCUCGUGUCGUGAGAUGUUGGGUUAAGUCCCGCAACGAGCGCAACCCUUGUCACUAGUUGCUACGGGUAACUGGGCACUCUAGUGAGACUGCCGGUGACAAACCGGAGGAAGGUGGGGAUGACGUCAAGUCCUCAUGGCCCUUAUGGGUAGGGCUUCACACGUCAUACAAUGGCGCAUACAGAGGGCUGCCAACCCGCGAGGGGGAGCCAAUCCCAGAAAGUGCGUCGUAGUCCGGAUUGCAGUCUGCAACUCGACUGCAUGAAGUCGGAAUCGCUAGUAAUCGCGGAUCAGCAAUGUCGCGGUGAAUACGUUCCCGGGUCUUGCACACACCGCCCGU